rnacentral:rRNA from 1 species
UACGUAGGAGACGAGCGUUGUCCGGAAUUACUGGGCGUAAAGCGCGUGUAGGCGGAUGAGCAAGUCUGCUGUGAAGCUCCUGGCUUAACCGGGAGUGGUCGGUGGAAACUGCUCGUCUGGAGGACGGUAGAGGUAGGUAGAAUUCCCGGUGUAGUGGUGAAAUGCGUAGAGAUCGUAAGGAAGACCAGUGGCGAAGGCGGGUCUCUGGACAGUUCCUGACACUGAGGCACGAAGGCCAGGGGAGCAAACGGG